CAUGUCCUUAAUUAAGGAUCUUAGACAUCAAAAGUAUAUAUUCUGUAUUAUCUAGGGAAAUUUUAGGUCAAGUGUGCAUUAUCUAUUUAAGAAGAAAGCCCUAACUGCUCUUAGAAUUUCUAUUUCCAUAGUAUGGAAGAUUUUAUCCAAAUAAAAUCAUGGUCCUGACUCUGGAAUUGGAAGUGAUAAUGGAGAGAAACGAUUAUCCACAACAGAACCAUCAGAUGAUGACACAGUCAGCCUUCAUUCUCAAGUCUCAGAAUCAAAUAGAGAGCAGACAUCAAGAAAUGACAGUCACAUAAUAGGAAACCAGGAGGUAUAUGAUUUUGUUGACCCCAACACAGAAGAUGUAGCAGUUUCUGAACAGGGAGAUGCACAUAUUGGAUCAUUUGUAUCUUUCUUUAAGGUAAAUAAAACUUUGAACAAAUAUUAAUAACAUGCUCUCUUGAUCUUAUGAAAGUGGACUGUACAAUUUAAAA
rnacentral:lncRNA from 1 species